GACGAACGCUGGCGGCGUGCUUAACACAUGCAAGUCGAACGAAAAUACCAAGCUUGCUUGGUUGAUUAGUGGCGAACGGGUGAGUAACACGUGAGUAACCUGCCCCUUACUUUCCUGGAUAACUGCUCGAAAGGGUAGCUAAUACGGGAUAUUCUGACCAGCCUGCAUGGGUUGGUUUGGAAAGGUUGUUUUUCUGGUAAGGGAUGGGCUCGCGGCCUAUCAGCUUGUUGGUGGGGUGAUGGCCUACCAAGGCUUUGACGGGUAGCCGGCCUGAGAGGGUGGACGGUCACACUGGGACUGAGAUACGGCCCAGACUCCUACGGGAGGCAGCAGUGGGGAAUAUUGCACAAUGGGCGCAAGCCUGAUGCAGCGACGCCGCGUGAGGGAUGAAGGCCUUCGGGUUGUAAACCUCUUUCGUCAGGGAACAAGGCACUGCUUUUUCGGUGGUGUUGAGGGUACCUGGAUAAGAAGCGCCGGCUAACUACGUG
rnacentral:rRNA from 1 species